AGUGCGACAGACAGCCUCAGAGCUGGUGGGGAGACAGCAUGCCACUGGAAAAAUUCGUAGACAUGGAAUUCCUGGAUCAAAUGGAGGAGAUGGAAGAUUGAGAGCAGAGUGCAAGAAUGGGAAGAGGGCUUCGUGCCCUGUGCACGUUUGCCACCUAGUGACCAAACUGAAUGGUGUGCUUCUCACCUCAGCGUGAUAGCCUGACCUUGACUCCUGAGUUCCACGAUCGCUUCACAACUGCAAGUCACCAUCAUACAAAAUUUGAGUUUCCCUAAGUCCGCGCCUUUGAGAGCUUUGGAACGAUAUGCAAGUUCAAGUCACCAUCCUGUUUCUUGCUACCUCCUCACAUUGGUAAAGACUUUAUAACUUCCAGGACAAUGCAGAUUGAUGUUGAUUAAUAAAGAGCAGGCAACCUUCUGUUUUUGGCUCUAAUAGAAAUGCCUCAUUGUUUAACUAUUAUAAUUGCCAUUGUUUCUGAUAAAUGCCCCUUUUCAAGUUAUGGAAAUGCCCUUCUGUUCUUGAUUGACUUAUAAUUUUAUCAGGGAUGGAUAAAGAAUGUUAUCAAGAUGCCUCUUCUGGCAUCUGACAAGCUGAUAUCCAGGUGAUGAUAUGGUUAUUCUCUCUAAUCCAUUAAUGUAGUUAAUUACAUAAUGUUGAGCUAUUCUUAGAUUCCUGGAAUAAAACUGAUUUGGU
rnacentral:lncRNA from 1 species